rnacentral:rRNA from 2 species
CGGCGAGUGAAGCGGGAACAGCUCAAAUUUGAAAUCUGGCCCUUGGGUCCGAGUUGUAAUUUGCAGAGGAUGCUUUUGGUGCGGUGCCUUCCGAGUUCCCUGGAACGGGACGCCUUAGAGGGUGAGAGCCCCGUACGGUUGGACACCAAGCCUAUGUAAAGCUCCUUCGACGAGUCGAGUAGUUUGGGAAUGCUGCUCAAAAUGGGAGGUAUAUUUCUUCUAAAGCUAAAUAUUGGCCAGAGACCGAUAGCGCACAAGUAGAGUGAUCGAAAGAUGAAAAGCACUUUGAAAAGAGGGUUAAAUAGCACGUGAAAUUGUUGAAAGGGAAGGAUUUAUGACCAGACUUUUUCUAGGGGAAUCAUCCGGUGUUCUCACCGGUGCACUUCCCCUAGUUGAGGCCAGCAUCGGUUUCUGUCGAGGGAUAAAAGCUUUAGGAAUGUGGCACCCUCCGGGGUGUGUUAUAGCCUGUUGCAUAAUACCUUGACGGGGACCGAGGUUCGCGCAUUGCAAGGAUGCUGGCGUAAUGGUUAUUAAUCACCCGUCUUGAAACACGGACCAAGGAGUCGAACAUUUGUGCGAGUGUUUGGGUGUUAAACCCUCACGCGUAAUGAAAGUGAACGGAGGUGAGAGCCUUUAGGGGUGCAUCAUCGACCGAUCCUGAUGUCUUCGGAUGGAUUUGAGUAAGAGCAUAACUGUUCGGACCCGAAAGAUGGUGAACUAUGCGUGGAUAGGGUGAAGCCAGAGGAAACUCUGGUGGAGGCUCGCAGCGGUUCUGACGUGCAAAUCGAUCGUCAAAUCUGCGCAUGGGGGCGAAAGACUAAUCGAACCAUUGACCAGCGGUCAAAACAAUCACUAGUGGUUAAGAGGGGGUCCGCGAGGACCAUUUGAAAAACCUAGGUUGUGUCCGGUUACCCUGUAGGCUACCCUGUAGCUUACCCGGUAGCCGGUCCGGCCGACACCGCUAAAAUGCGGGGACAUCCCUUUACAGGGCCAAAGGCUACCGCCACGCGCUGAAAAGCGUGCUGGCACCGAGGAUAGUGACCUCGGGUACGGUAAUAACGCCUGCGGCUGGGACGACCUGCAGCCAACCCCGCCUAGGGGAGAGUUCACAGACUAAACAGCGGUGGGUUGGCAGUGCCUUUCGGGGCCUGCCAGCCUAAGAUAUAGUCG